GAUGAAGAACGCAGCGAACUGCGAUAAGUAAUGUGAAUUGCAGAAUUCAGUGAAUCAUCGAGUCUUUGAACGCACAUUGCGCCCCCUGGCAUUCCGGGGGGCAUGCCUGUCCGAGCGUCAUUGCUGCCCUUCAAGCCCGGCUUGUGUGUUGGGUCGUCGUCCCCCCCGGGGGACGGGCCCGAAAGGCAGCGGCGGCACCGCGUCCGGUCCUCGAGCGUAUGGGGCUUUGUCACCCGCUCGAUUAGGGCCGGCCGGGCGCCAGCCGGCGUCUCCAACCUUCUAUUUUACCAGGUUGACCUCGGAUCAGGUAGGGAUACCCGCUGAACUUAAGCAUAUCAAUAAGCGAGGA
rnacentral:misc_RNA from 1 species